UGAGCAACCUACCGAACUGUGGGGGAUAGCCGGCCUAACGGCCGAGUAAUACCGCAUACGCUCUCAGUGAGGCAUUUCAUUGAGAGGAAACCUACGGGACAGAUCGAGGGGCUCGCGGCCUAUCAGCUAGUUGGCGAGGUAACGGCUCACCAAGGCAACGACGGGUANCUGGUCUGAGAGGAUGGCCAGCCCACAGUUGGGACUGAGAUACCGGCCCAGACCUCCGUAGGGAG
rnacentral:rRNA from 1 species